AUUGAACGCUGGCGGCAGGCCUAACACAUGCAAGUCGAACGAGUGGCGGACGGGUGAGUAAUGUCUGGGAAACUGCCUGAUGGAGGGGGAUAACAACUGGAAACGUUAGCUAAACCCGCAUACACUAGAAUUGGCCCAGAUGGGAUUACCUAGUUGGUGGGGUAACGGCUCACCAAGGCGACGAUCCCUAGCUGGUCUGAGAGGAUGACCAGCCACACUGGAACUGAGACACGGUCCAGACUCCUACGGGAGGCAGCAGUGGGGAAUAUUGCACAAGGGGCGCAAGCCUGAUGCAGCCAUGCCGCGUGUAUGAAGAAGGCCUUCGGGUUGUAAAGUACUUUCAGCGGGGAGGCGUUACCCGCAGAAGAAGCACCGGCUAACUCCGUGCCAGCAGCCGCGGUAAUUC
rnacentral:rRNA from 1 species